UCCCCGCCACAACGGCUUCCUGACGUGGCGGGCAGGAACUAAUGGAGCA
rfam:Thalassobius gelatinovorus strain CECT 4357 genome assembly, contig: 0027